CUGAGGUAAAUUUAAAUUUCUCAUAUGGCAGCGCCUCACACUGGGAACCAGCGCGCGCGCGCUCACGCCGGGCAUCAAAUACCAUUAAACUAAACAUUUUAAGAAACAGAAAGACGGAAAACUUUCAGGUCUCAUCCCACCUGCCUCUAAAUCUGCAUCACGCCGCCGAUGUGAGUCACUCAUCUCCAGAGAGACUGGAAGCGAUGGAGCCGAGAGACGUCGUCCUCUUCUUCUUCCGGGGUUCCACUCUGAAUCAUGAGCCUCUGGGUGCAGGCUUGGCCGUUCGGACUGAGGAGUCAUUGUCGGUUCACAUCUGUGAUGAAGCAGAUCCUGUAAGUGGAGAUGGAGCACAGACGCGUGGUCAGAUUGAGAUCUGGGGAAUUUGGAGGCCAUGUCAACACCUUGACAACUCUUUGUCAGGUUCCUCAAACCGUUCCUGAAGAAUAUCUGCAGUGUGUCAGAGAGCAUCAUCCUUCUUACAUCCAUGAAGAGGUGAAGGUAGAUGUCACAGUAACAUCUCCAUGAACCCAAGGUUUCCCAGCAGAACAUGACAGAGAACAUCACACACUGUAUCUAAAGUGCUUCCUGCAGUGCAGAGGAAGUGUGUGAGCAGUUUAGUCCAGUGAGCACCGAGACACCUUCAUUUCAGAGCGCUGAAUAAAAUGUCUGGGUAUCAAUGCAUCAGUGUUUACAUGAGUAUCCAUACUGAGAUAUUCAUUGUGUGUGUGUGUGUGUGUGUAUCCUGAACACUGACAUAUUUAGCUAACUAAUUAUGCAUUUAAUUUGAACUAAGCGGGGAUAUUAAAAGCGGAGCAGAGAUCAGCGACUCAACACCUAGUUCAUUUUGUAUUCUAUUAUUUCUCUUCUCUCCACAUGCUGGAUUUAGAAGAAUAAAACCAACUUUUUUGUUAUUAAUAACCCUAAAGCGAUGAUUCAGCGCUUAGCACACCUGCUAGCGUGGAGAACGGCGGCGGCUCAGUCAUUAAAAAGCGCUUUCUCUCUCCAGAGCAAACAAACCCACCUGUGCUCUUUUUACACGCGGCGUAUCGGCGCUAUCUCGGAGCCGCGCGUAAAGGUCACAUCAUCACACGCCGCAACCGGAUCGCAAACAAACACGGCAUCAUGGGUAAGCAAACCGCCGUUCAGGGCCGAGCCGAGGUGAGGCGAGGAGCCUCGGCACACGGGCCAACACCUUAACUUAUCAAACAUCGACCUGGGGUCAGAGGUCAGCGCCAUGGAAACACGCUCCUAACACUGAAAAUAUUAAUCAUGUGCUACCUCUUCACACCGCUGAAGAUUUAUUUUAUGAUGACCGAGGAUGAGUGAGGUCACUUCAAUCAUCAUCUG